AGAGUUUGAUCCUGGCUCAGAUUGAACGCUGGCGGAAUGCUUUACACAUGCAAGUCGAACGGCAGCACGGGUGCUUGCACCUGGUGGCGAGUGGCGAACGGGUGAGUAAUACCUAGGAACAUGUCCAGUAGUGGGGGAUAACGCAGCGAAAGCUGUGCUAAUACCGCAUACGCCCUACGGGGGAAAGCGGGGGAUUCGUAAGAACCUCGCGUUAUUGGAGUGGCCUAGGCCUGAUUAGCUAGUUGGUGAGGUAAAGGCUCACCAAGGCGACGAUCAGUAGCUGGUCUGAGAGGAUGAUCAGCCACACUGGAACUGAGACACGGUCCAGACUCCUACGGGAGGCAGCAGUGGGGAAUUUUGGACAAUGGGGGAAACCCUGAUCCAGCCAUUCCGCGUGAGUGAAGAAGGCCUUCGGGUUGUAAAGCUCUUUCAGGAGGGAAGAAACGGUUGCAGCUAAUACCUGCGACUAAUGACGGUACCUUCAGAAGAAGCACCGGCUAACUACGUGCCAGCAGCCGCGGUAA
rnacentral:rRNA from 1 species